AGAAACCCUGUGGAAAAUUUUUCUCUAUGAAGAUUCGAUCACAAAAAUAUGAUGUACUGUUUCGUGUCGAGAUCGCCGGUUCUUCAAAUAUCUGCAAAGAUAUUGAAAUUGUUAAAGUAACUCCACCACCUUCAAAAUCAAAAUUCCCCACAACUUUAAUUCCACACAGACCCCGUAUUGAUCUGAGGGUGGUGAUAUUGAGUGUAU